rnacentral:rRNA from 1 species
UACGUAGGGUGCAAGCGUUAAUCGGAAUUACUGGGCGUAAAGCGUGCGCAGGCGGUGUUGUAAGUCUGGUGUGAAAUCCGCGGGCUCAACCUGGGAAUUGCUUUGGAGACUGCAAGGCUAGAAUGUGGCAGAGGGGGGUAGAAUUCCAAGUGUAGCAGUGAAAUGCGUAGAGAUGUGGAGGAACACCGAUGGCGAAGGCAGCCCACUGGGUCAAGAUUGACGCUCAUGCACGAAAGCGUGGGGAGCAAACAGG